GGGUUGUGAGGUUAAGCGACUAAGCGUACACGGUGGAUGCCCUGGCAGUCAGAGGCGAUGAAGGACGUGCUAAUCUGCGAAAAGCGCCGGCGAGGUGAUAUGAACCUUUGACCCGGCGAUGUCCGAAUGGGGAAACCCAGUGCAAUCCGUUGCACUAUCGUUAACUGAAUACAUAGGUUAACGAGGCGAACCGGGGGAACUGAAACAUCUAAGUACCCCGAGGAAAAGAA
rnacentral:rRNA from 1 species